rnacentral:sRNA from 1 species
AUCACUUCUCGGCCUUUUGGCUAAGAUCAAGUGUACCUUGAUCAUGACUUUUUCCCAAGAAAGCUGAAUAUGUCUAUUAUUUCUUCUAAAAACACUUUAUAUUUCUUGUCUACCUCAUAAAAUCUCUUCACUAAAUGGUUCUGUGUGGAUAUUUC